rnacentral:rRNA from 1 species
AAUAGCCAUGCCUGUCUCAGUUACACUGCCGCACCGUUAGGCGAUACCGCGAAUGGCUCCCUUAUCAGUCAUGAUUUAUGGGAUGUUGUAAAAUCCUUACUCGGAUAACUGUGGUAAUUCUAGAGCUAAUACGUGCAACUAGUCUCCGACCCCGGACCCUCGCGGUCGGGGGAAGGGCGCAUUUGUUAGACCAAAAACCGGGUGGACAGUCGGGGCAAUCUCCGCUUCGCGCGGCAGUAUUCGUCCUCGUCCAUUCCUCUACGGUUAUGUGGUGACUCUGGACAACUACAGCCGAGCGCUGAGGUCUUAGUACCGGCGCCGUAUCCUUCAAGUGUCUGCCUUAUCAGCUCUCGAUUGUAGGUUAUUCGCCUACAAUGGCUGUAACGGGUAACGGGGAAUCAGGGUUCGAUUCCGGAGAGGGAGCCUGAGAAACGGCUACCACAUCUAAGGAAGGCAGCAGGCACGCAAAUUACCCAAUCCCGGCUCGGGGAGGUAGUGACGAAAAAUAACGAUGCGGGACUCUUCCGAGGCCUCGCAAUCGGAAUGAGUCCAAUUUAAAAACUUGGACAAGGAUCCAUUGGAGGGCAAGUCUGGUGCCAGCAGCCGCGGUAAUUCCAGCUCCAAUAGCGUAUAUUUAAAGUUGCUGCGGUUAAAAAGCUCGUAGUUGGAUUUCUGAUGCGGACCGGGGAGCCCAUCCAAGGCGCGCCCUCGUCUUUAGCGNAGCGGCGGUUCCGGGGGGGUUCUUCCCGUGUCUCGUCAACGGCCGAAGGGGGGUGUCGUUGGGCAACCUCUUUCCCACGCUCCGGUUGGUC